GCCGCUCUAUUGGCCAGGAUCCGCUCAGCCGUGGGAGCUUUAAACUCCAGGCUGACCUACGAACCUGCGGCGAACGUCUUGCGCGCUUCCUGAUCCGUUACCAUGGAAAUGGUUUAACCCUUUCCUCUGGCAAAAUACCCAAGCUGUGGCUGGCUCUGCAGGGCCAGAUCCUCUCUGCUUUGGAGCCUUCCCACGAGAUCUUCCUUCAGCACUGAGUGCUCUCUGUGCACCCCUUAGCCUCUGUAUGCCUGAGAAUCCCUCAGCAUUCAGCUGUACUCUCAAGAACUCAAGAACUCUUGUACUAAUUCCCCAGACUAGUGUUGAAAUAAGUUUCUAGGCCCAAGGUGGAGGUGCUCCCGCCCAGGAUGCCACCUCAGCAAACCAAAGCUUAAAUAACUUUUGUGUCUGUGUAAAUGCUCCACUAGACCAAAAACACAGUAUAUCCAGUCAGCCAGUCCCCCCAAACCAAGCCAACUCUAGGCUCUAUGUUUAUUUGUUUCUUCUCACUCCAAGCAAAGCUGGGGUGCCUGGGUGGCUCAGUAGGUUGAGCAUCCGACUUCGGCUCAGGUCAUGAUCUCAUGGUUUUGUGAGUUCAAGCCCCGCAUCGGGCUCUGUGCUGACAGCUCAGAGCCUGGAGUCUGCUUUCGAUUCUGUGUCUCCCUCUCUCUCUGCCCCUCCCCGACUCAUGCUCUGUCUCUCUGCCUUGGAAAUAAAUAAACAUUAAAAAAUUAAAAACAAGCAAACAAAGUUGACAAUGUGGCCCCAACCAAUCAUAUAUUUCCCACUUUUCCUUUUCCCUGCUCUUUUUUCUUUAGUCUAUAAAAGCUUCCCGACUUCUGCCCCAUUUUGCAGUUCUCCAAAGGAAACUGUCCACUUAAGGAAGUGUGAAAUAAAGUUUGUUUGUAUCACCUAA